rnacentral:rRNA from 1 species
CCCUUAGAUGUUCUGGGCCGCACGCGCGCUACACUGACGAUGGCAACGAGUUUUUCCUUCGCCGAAAGGUGUGGGUAAGCUUUUGAAACAUCGUCGUGCUGGGGAUAGAUCAUUGCAAUUUUUGAUCUUGAACGAGGAAUUCCUAGUAAGCGCGAGUCAUCAGCUCGCGUUGAUUACGUCCCUGCCCUUUGUACACACCGCCCGUCGCUACUACCGAUUGAAUGGUUUAGUGAGGACUCCUGAUUGGCGCCGCCGCCCCGGCAACGGAGCAGCGGACUGCCGAAAAGUUGUUCAAACUUGAUCAUUUAGAGGAAGUAAAAGUCGUAACA